rnacentral:lncRNA from 1 species
AAUUUAAUAGAACAUAAUUUUAAAUUGUUAUUGCAAAUUGACGAGGGAUGGAAAAGUCACAAACCAACUGAACUUGUUGAGAAUAUUUUUCUCAAAUUUCCAAAUAAGCCAAUGGGGAGAAGACACACAAAAAUGAUACUUCCUUCUCUCUUUCUCUCGCCUCACAUUUUUUUUCUCUGAAAAUCUUCAUCAUCAAACUAGACAUCACCAUCACUUCAUCA